ACUCCUCACGGGGAGGCAGCAGUGGGGAAUAUUGCACAAUGGGCGCAAGCCUGAUGCAGCCAUGCCGCGUGUGUGAAGAAGGCCUUCGGGUUGUAAAGACUUUCAGUCGUGAGGAAGGUAGUGUAGUUAAUAGCUGCAUUAUUUGACGUUAGCGACAGAAGAAGCACCGGCUAACUCCGUGCCAGCAGCCGCGGUAAUACGGAGGGUGCGAGCGUUAAUCGGAAUUACUGGGCGUAAAGCGCAUGCAGGUGGUUUGUUAAGUCAGAUGUGAAAGCCCGGGGCUCAACCUCGGAAUUGCAUUGAAACUGGCAGACUAGAGUACUGUAGAGGGGGGUAGAAUUUGCAGGUGUA
rnacentral:rRNA from 1 species